GUCAACAUAGUACUGAGUAAAGGGUCUGAAUGCUUAUGUAAAUAUAAUAUUUCAGUUUUUGCUGUUAGAAACCCGUUUUUGCUUUGUCAUUAUGCAUUAUUAUGUGUAGAUUGAUGAGGGGGUAAACGAUUUAAGCCAUUUUUUAUUAAGGCUGUAAUGUAACAAAAUGUGGAAAAAGUUAAAGGGUCUGAAUACUUUCCAAAUAAACUGUAUGUUAUUGUGUUCUGUUAAUACAUUGUUGUUACCAGAUGGAAAAGACUGCUCGCUGACUUUUGUGGCACAUGGACUGAGGAAGGCUUGUGUUCAGGGACACAGUGGUAAUCAAGGCUGCAUCAAACGUGUUCCUCCUGCAUUGAUGAUUGUGAACUGCAACACUUUUCCAUUCAUCAGAAGAGUUACAUAAUCGUGUGUCUCUUUCUGCAGGGUUAGUGUUUGAUGUACUGGCCCCUUGCCUUUCCUCCUGCAAGAGGUGUGGCAGAAAGGGUGUGCUGGAAGCUGCUGGAGAGCGUAUUCACUGGGCUGGUGCAGGCUGUCAAAAGGGAAGGGAAGGGGAGAUAGCUAGAGGUUAUAAAAAGGUGUCAAACUGUCUGCAUCUCUUUCUCUCGUAAUGUAAGUGUUAUUUUUCCUCUAGGCCUGAAAGAGGACCAGGAUCAUGGGGAACCUGGUGUUAAAGAACAAAAAGCCUGUGUUUGUCAUCACCCAUAAACUACUGCUGCUCCAAUACAAGUAUGAGGUGCUGCGGUCACUGUGCCAGGCCUGAGGCAGACCCCUUCGGGAGCAGCAGCUCUAUGUGAGCUGGGGUCUGCUGCUAGCUGCUGCAGUUCAUGCUGGGAGAGAUUCAGAGCCACAUGGACAGCAGCGUAGUGUGUGUGAGGGGCAUGGUGGUGGGGAAGUGUCUCUGCUCCUGCAUGGACAUCAGAGCCAAGCUCAAAUUGGAGGUACAGUACAGUUUGGCACCUUACCCAAGGUUUUGGGUGCAUCACAAUAGUCUGAAGUGGCUCACUGUCAAUAUAUUCUGUUCUCUGCUCAUACUGAUCUGA